UACAUACUGUGCGAACGUUAUUCGGAUUCACUGGGCUUAAAGGGUGCGUAGGCGGCUCGUUAAGUAGGGUGUGAAAGCCCCCAGCUCAACUGGGGAACUGCACUCUAUACUGGUGAGCUAGAGUGAGAUAGGGGUGUGUGGAACUGCCAGUGGAGCGGUGAAAUGUGUUGAUAUUGGCAGGAACGCCGGUGGCGAAAGCGACACACUGGGUCUCAACUGACGCUGAGGCACGAAAGCCAGGGGAGCGAACGGG
rnacentral:rRNA from 1 species